GAGCGGGCCCUCCCGGGCCUCCUCCUGCUGUAAUCAGAGCCCAAACCCCACAUCCAGGGGCUCCCCAGAGGGAUUGUGCGUGGCGGGAGCUCCCUCCUGGGGCCCUGGGGCCUGGCUCCUGUGAUGGUCUCCUGGCCUACAACCCGGGAGUCGGAUCACGCUGCCCACGCUCGUCGGUGCCAGGGUUGGGGGAGGGAAGGUACAGACAGGGUGGAUGGGACCCGGCAGUGCACUCAGUCAGACGGCCCGGGAAGAGCAUCGGGGUCUCGGGCAGCUCCUCCAAGGCCCCAAACUGUCUAGGUUCAUCCGAGCCUUUGGCUGUCAGGACAGGAAAAUGCAAUUUAUCAUCGGAGUGGAUAAAGAGCCACUCUUCUGAAAGGAGCCGGAGACCGGCCACCUUCCUGGUCGCUGCCACCGCCAGAGUCGGUGCUUGGUGGCAGGAGGGUGGGCACAGGCGCCAGGCUAGAGGGAGCAGCGGAAGAAGAGGGGGACUUUUCCACGGCCGGAAGGGGUGCCAAGCCUUGAAAUGACCAGAGGGACUGAAGCUAACACUGCACUUCCCAUGUGGGUGACACAGGGGCUGCAAACUCAACCCCUCAGAGGCGCCAGAAGGUCCUCGCAUCACUGGGGCUUGCCUGCCCCUCGGGAGUCCACAGCCCUGAGAUCGGAGAUCCCCGGCGGGGGAAGGGCAGCCGAGAUGCCUCCAGGACAGGAGCGAACUGGGCUGCCGAGGACCCUCCCUU
rnacentral:lncRNA from 1 species